rnacentral:misc_RNA from 1 species
GGAGGUGAAACUAGACCCAAAAUAUCUCAUUUGUCAUGAAGAAACCCUACCCAAAUUCUAUCCAUAAGUUGACCAAUUUACUGUCCCAAUCCAGAUAUCCAAACACUGAACCUAGAAAAAUGAUCAAAUAAAUUCAUUUGGCCAUAACUCCCUCUAGACAGGUCCAAAUGACCUGAAUUUUAUACCAUUGAAAACCUUAAACAUAGGACUACAACUUUCAUUGAGAACACUAAGCCUAAAAACGCCUCUAAUCAAAUGAAAUGGUUGGCCCACUUUAGGUCAUAAAAUUGACCAGAACCAUUCUGCCCAAAAUUUCCUGGACAUAAGCCUACCCGACUAGUUUUGGCAAAAUGGCCAUAAUUUGGUCUAUAAAAAUUCAAAUGUAAUGAAACCAAUGGAAAAAGUUUUAUAAGACAUAGGUCUACAAUAUUGAUCUUUUGACCAAAAUCCAGAACCCAAAGAAACUAGGUCAAAUGGUUAGAAGAAUUUAACACAUCAAAAUAUGGAGUUUGACCAAAUCACAAUUGACCCCAGAAUAGUGUUUAUAGCAUAUCUUCCACUUGGAAACUCUAAUUAGGUUGAGUCAUACUGAUCUGGAAUCCUGAGAAACAGGGCUCCAACUUUAUUUCAGACAUUGUCCUCAAAUUAUAAACAUAAGAACCCUAACAUGGAGAUCAAAGCUACUGACCAGAACCUGAACCCUGAAGACACAGGGUACUAGAGUCUAGGCCAAUUAAAUUGUUAUAACUAAUUUUACAAAACUUGGAAAAUUGUAAUUAAAAUUUCUGAAUGAUCAUAAGACAUAGGGCAAUAAAUUAUAUGAAGAACACUAAGCCUAAAAG